GAUGAACGCUGGCGGCGUGCCUAAUACAUGCAAGUCGAGCGAAAGGACAAGAAGAUUGCUUCCCUGCUGUUAGCGACGGGCGGGUGAGUAAGAAGUGGAUAACCUUCUACUAAGUCUGGGAUAACUACGGGAAAACGUAGCUACUAAUGGAUAAUAUUUUGAACCGCAUGGUUCAAAAGUGAAAGAGGGUCUUGCUGUCUCUUAUAGCUGGUUUCGGGCUGCAUUAGCUAGUUGGUAAGGUAACGGCCUACCAAGGCAACGAUGCAUAGCUGAUCUGAGAGGGUGAUCAGCCACACUGGAACUGAGACACGGUCCAGACUCCUACGGGAGGCAGCAGUGGGGAAUCUUCCGCAAUGGGCGAAAGCCUGACGGAGCAACGCCGCGUGAGUGAAGAAGGUCUUCGGAUCGUAAAGCCCUGUUAUUAGGAAAGAACAUAUGUGUAUGUAACUGUGCACAUCUUGACGGUACCUAAUCAAAAAGCCACGGCUAACUACGUG
rnacentral:rRNA from 1 species